AAAGACCAUGAUCACUGCAACGCACUCAUUUGCCCAAAUGCUACAGAAACGAUUCACCAUCCACCAUAAACCGAGCAUCAGAGCAGUGAUACGACUCACAAUGAGACAAGUCCCAGUGAACAUGCCCAGGGCUUGUUUCUUCAAACUGAGAACCAGCCUAAAAGUGGUCAUUGACAAUGACGUUACAGAAGACAUGAAGAAGAAAGAUUUAUUCUGGAAGAUAAGACAGUUUGCAUUUGCCAGGGCUGCUUGCUUAAUAUCAAGUUAUCGAGUUAUCUUAUCUAUCAAGUUGAGGAGGACUCCAUUCACGUGGCCUGCAAAUGAGAAAUUGAGUUUUGGUUGUAGCAUGUCUGGCUGAAACCCUGUUUCCUGGUGCAAAGAUAUAGGUUACUGUAAUCGCUACUUUACGAACAUGAAGAUUGUAGAUUACAUGUUGGAGAACCAGAUGUACCUGACUGGUACAGUUAAGAACCGUGUCACCGAGGCACUAAAAAAGCUACCAUAUAAUAUAUACUUCAAAUUAUAAUUCAAAUUCUAAUAUUUUAAUUAUAUUAAUUAUAUUAUCUAAAAUUUAAAUAAUAAAAUUUUAUAUGACUAGUUGUCCUGAUACGAGGACAUCAUUUUUUUCAAAGACAUCUUCCUUUUCAAAGACAUUGCUUAGUUUCCACAGUUAUCAAGCCCUACUAGUUAUAAAUAGCAAGAAGAAAUUAAAAAUGCACACAAAAACAUGAUCUGGGUCUCAGGAGGGUAUGGAAGGAUCCCAAAGCGCUCUUUUUUUUUUUUUUUUUUUUUUUUUUUUUUAGAAGGGACUUAAAAAUGCAGUUUUUAAUGACUUUGGGAAAAUUCUUGAUAGGAGUGAGCCAUUCACCAUUUAUUGUAAAUCUGUUGCCAGGCAGUUGAAAACAUUUUAAAAAACCCAGUGAGCAGAGUAUCAAGACAGCAGGUAGACUGUUUAAAAUGCCGCACUGUUUCUUCAAGAUUUUUGCAGUCCAAAGCACUAAAUUGUGACAUAGUAACUCCUAUGCAGUGAUGGAGAUGGCAUAGCUUCAUUGAUUGACAGAGGUAUUUAUGGCCAUUCUAAUGUUUUUUACUUCAUCAUUGAAGAAAGAUGCAAACUCAUUACAUUUUUGGCAGAAAUGAGUUCAGGGGCUGACUGUGUUGGGGAAUUUGUUAACCUGUCAACUGUGGCAAAUAAAGUGUGAGUAUUGUUGAUGUUCCUGUUUGAGGAAUAA